rnacentral:lncRNA from 1 species
AAUUCUGAAUUGGCUGUUUAUAUUAAAAUAUGCAAAAGUGGAUUUUGUCCUAAUGUUUUUACUUACACUACUUUAGUUUAUGGGCUUCUCAAAAGCAACAACUAUGAUCUGUAUAUGAUUUUCAACUGCUUAAAGGUGCUCGCCAGUCCAAAUGAGCAUAACGAUGAAACACUUUGCGGCUCAAACAAGAGAUUGGCAUGUUGGAG